rnacentral:rRNA from 1 species
CGUACGAUGAACCGGCUUCGGCCGGGGAUUAGUGGCGAACGGGUGAGUAACACGUGGGCAAUCUGCCCUGCACUCUGGGACAAGCCCUGGAAACGGGGUCUAAUACCGGAUACUGAUUACCUUGGGCAUCCUUGGUGAUCGAAAGCUCCGGCGGUGCAGGAUGAGCCCGCGGCCUAUCAGCUUGUUGGUGAGGUAACGGCUCACCAAGGCGACGACGGGUAGCCGGCCUGAGAGGGCGACCGGCCACACUGGGACUGAGACACGGCCCAAACUCCUACGGGAGGCAGCAGUGGGGAAUAUUGCACAAUGGGCGAAAGCCUGAUGCAGCGACCCCGCGUGAGGGAUGACGGCCUUCGGGUUGUAAACCUCUUUCAGCAGGGAAGAAGCGAAAGUGACGGUACCUGCAGAAAAAGCGCCGGCUAACUACGUGCCAGCAGCCGCGGUAAUACGUAGGGCGCAAGCGUUGUCCGGAAUUAUUGGGCGUAAAGAGCUCGUAGGCGGCUUGUCGCGUCGGUUGUGAAAGCCCGGGGCUUAACCCCGGGUCUGCAGUCGAUACGGGCAGGCUAGAGUUCGGUAGGGGAGAUCGGAAUUCCUGGUGUAGCGGUGAAAUGCGCAGAUAUCAGGAGGAACACCGGUGGCGAAGGCGGAUCUCUGGGCCGAUACUGACGCUGAGGAGCGAAAGCGUGGGGAGCGAACAGGAUUAGAUACCCUGGUAGUCCACGCCGUAAACGGUGGGCACUAGGUGUGGGCAACAUUCCACGUUGUCCGUGCCGCAGCUAACGCAUUAAGUGCCCCGCCUGGGGAGUACGGCCGCAAGGCUAAAACUCAAAGGAAUUGACGGGGGCCCGCACAAGCGGCGGAGCAUGUGGCUUAAUUUGACGCAACGCGAAGAACCUUACCAAGGCUUGACAUACACCGGAAACAUCCAGAGAUGGGUGCCCCCUUGUGGUCGGUGUACAGGUGGUGCAUGGCUGUCGUCAGCUCGUGUCGUGAGAUGUUGGGUUAAGUCCCGCAACGAGCGCAACCCUUGUCCCGUGUUGCCAGCAGGCCCUUGUGGUGCUGGGGACUCACGGGAGACCGCCGGGGUCAACUCGGAGGAAGGUGGGGACGACGUCAAGUCAUCAUGCCCCUUAUGUCUUGGGCUGCACACGUGCUACAAUGGCCGGUACAAUGAGCUGCGAUACCGCGAGGUGGAGCGAAUCUCAAAAAGCCGGUCUCAGUUCGGAUUGGGGUCUGCAACUCGACCCCAUGAAGUCGGAGUCGCUAGUAAUCGCAGAUCAGCAUUGCUGCGGUGAAUACGUUCCCGGGCCUUGUACACACCGCCCGUCACGUCACGAAAGUCGGUAACACCCGAAGCCGGUGGCCCAACCCCUUGUGGGAGGGAGCUGUCGA